AAAUUGAAUAGGCAAACCUAGAGAAAUUUAGGGACGCAAAGCUAGAGGGGCUAAGGUUGAAAAACUAUGCCAGCCAGUUGCCAAA
rfam:Viridibacillus arenosi FSL R5-213 Contig034, whole genome shotgun sequence.